AAAAUUGGGAUCUUCUUGUUGGAACGCUGAAUCAGAAAUGGAUGCAAUGAGUACCCCUACAAGUUUAUUGAGCAUGUUUUGGUCGGUUGUGUACCAUACUAGCUCGCAUUAUAGUAGUAAGUUUGAACCUUGGUAUGAUUGGCAAUAUCUAGGUUAGGUAACUCAUGGACAUGGUGAACAAAUGUGGUGUAGAGGAACAUGAGCUAUCAUGUUUAUUUGUUCAGUACAAUUGUUCCUUGUGAUUAUGUUCAUAACCAUAUGGC
rnacentral:sRNA from 1 species